rnacentral:rRNA from 1 species
UGAGGAACAUGACCUUCGGCGGGGGAUAGCCGGCCCAACGGCCGGGUAAUACCGCGUACGACCUUUCGGGGACAUCCCUGGAUGGUGAAAGCAGCAAUGCGCCGAUGGAGUGCCUCGCGGCCUAUCAGCUUGUUGGUGAGGUAAUGGCUUACCAAGGCGACGACGGGUAGCCGGCCUGAGAGGGCGACCGGCCACACUGGGACUGAGACACGGCCCAGACUUCUACGGAAGCAG